GAUGAACGCUGGCGGCGUGCCUAAUACAUGCAAGUCGAGCGAACGGAUAAGGAGCUUGCUCCUUUGAAGUUAGCGGCGGACGGGUGAGUAACACGUGGGUAAUCUACCUAUAAGACUGGAAUAACUUCGGGAAACCGGAGCUAAUGCCGGAUAACAUUUGGAACCGCAUGGUUCUAAAGUAAAAGAUGGUUUUGCUAUCACUUAUAGAUGGACCCGCGCCGUAUUAGCUAGUUGGUAAGGUAGCGGCUUACCAAGGCAACGAUACGUAGCCGACCUGAGAAGGUGAUCGGCCACAUUGGAACUGAGACACGGUCCAA
rnacentral:rRNA from 1 species